GACGAACGCUGGCGGCGUGCUUAACACAUGCCAGUCGAACGCUGAAGCUCAGCUUUUGUUGGGUGGAUGAGUGGCGAACGGGUGAGUAACACGUGAGUAACCUGCCCCCUUCUUUGGGAUAACGCCCGGAAACGGGUGCUAAUACUGGAUAUUCACUGGUCUUCGCAUGGGGGUUGGUGGAAAGGGUUUUUCUGGUGGGGGAUGGGCUCGCGGCCUAUCAGCUUGUUGGUGGGGUGAUGGCCUACCAAGGCUUUGACGGGUAGCCGGCCUGAGAGGGUGACCGGUCACAUUGGGACUGAGAUACGGCCCAGACUCCUACGGGAGGCAGCAGUGGGGAAUAUUGCACAAUGGGCGCAAGCCUGAUGCAGCGACACCGCGUGAGGGAUGGAGGCCUUCGGGUUGUGAACCUCUUUCGCUCAUGGUCAAGCCGCAACAAUGGUUGUGGUGAGGGUAGUGGGUAAAGAAGCGCCGGCUAACUACGUG
rnacentral:rRNA from 1 species